rnacentral:rRNA from 1 species
CGUGACCAACUAACGAAUGCGGAUAACUUCUAUUGAAAGGUUCCAGAGUAGGCGCUACAACGCCGAAAUGACCUUCUCACCCUUGUGUACUCACUAUGUUGCUUUGGCGGGUCGACCUGGUUCCGACCCAGGCGGCCGGCGCCCCCAGCCUUAACUGGCCAGGACGCCCGGCUAAGUGCCCGCCAGUAUACAAAACUCAAGAAUUCAUUUUGUGAAGUCCUGAUAUAUCAUUUAAUUGAUUAAAACUUUCAACAACGGAUCUCUUGGUUCUGGCAUCGAUGAAGAACGCAGCGAAAUGCGAUAAGUAAUGUGAAUUGCAGAAUUCAGUGAAUCAUCGAAUCUUUGAACGCACAUUGCGCCCUCUGGUAUUCCGGAGGGCAUGCCUGUUCGAGCGUCAUUUCAACCCUCUAGCUCUGCUUGGUAUUGGGCAACGUCCGCUGCCGGACGUGCCUUGAAGACCUCGGCGACGGCGUCCUAGCCUCGAGCGUAGUACUAAAAUAUCUCGCUUUGGAGUGCNUGGCGACGGCCGCCGGACAAUCGACCUUCGGUCUAUUUUUCCAAGUUGACCUCGGAUCAGGUAGGGAUACCCGCUGAACUUUAGC